rnacentral:rRNA from 1 species
AUUGAACGCUGGCGGCAGGCCUAACACAUGCAAGUCGAACGAGUGGCGGACGGGUGAGUAAUGUCUGGGAAACUGCCUGAUGGAGGGGGAUAACUACUGGAAACGGUAGCUAAUAACGAAUACAAUAGGAUGUGCCCAGAUGGGAUUAGCUAGUAGGUGGGGUAAAGGCUCACCUAGGCGACGAUCCCUAGGUGGUCUGAGAGGAUGACCAGCCACCAUGGAACUGAGACACGUUGCAGACUCCUACGGUAGGCAGCAGUGGGGAAUAUUGCACAAGGGUCGCAAGACUGAUGCAGCCAUGCCGCGUGUAGGAAGAAGGCCUUCGGGUUGGAAAGUACUUUCAGCGGGGAGGCGUUACCCGCAGAAGAAGCACCGGCUAACUCCGUGCCAGCAGCCGCGGUAAUUC